UAGGGAAUCUUCCGCAAUGGACGCAAGUCUGACGGAGCAACGCCGCGUGAGUGAAGAAGGAUUUCGGUUCGUAAAACUCUGUUGUUAGAGAAGAACAGCGCAUAGAGUAACUGUUAUGCGUGUGACGGUAUCUAACCAGCAAGCCACGGCUAACUACGUGCCAGCAGCCGCGGUAAUACGUAGGUGGCAAGCGUUGUCCGGAUUUAUUGGGCGUAAAGCGAGCGCAGGCGGUCAAUUAAGUCUGAUGUGAAAGCCCCCGGCUCAACCGGGGAGGGUCAUUGGAAACUGGUUGACUUGAGUGCAGAAGAGGAGAGUGGAAUUCCAUGUGUAGCGGUGAAAUGCGUAGAUAUAUGGAGGAACACCAGUGGCGAAGGCGACUCUCUGGUCUGUAACUGACGCUGAGGCUCGAAAGCGUGGGUAGCAAACAGG
rnacentral:rRNA from 1 species